UUCCAUUUUCCAAAAGAAAGACAAGAGCUCAGAACUUCAAUUCUCUUUCUCUCUUUGAAAUUCUCUCUUCUUCCUCUCCCAAACUUUACCCUUCACCUUCACCUUCUUCUGCUAGGUUCUUCUAUUAGUUCUACACCAUCUUCUCUCUGGUUCCUCCCUGGAUUUCUAUGGACUUCACGCACCAUCAUCUUCAUUCAAGAAGUUUUACCUUCUUCAAAUAUCUUCAUCAUCAAGAGUUUCAACGUUUCUCUGCAACACCACAAUUCACAGUUUCUGCAUUUUACACCACAUAAUCUUCAUCGAUGUCAGUAUUCUUCAUCGGUGAAUUGCAUCCUCCAACCUCACUGUAAUUUUCUUCAACAAGGGACAACUUCUGCAUAG